AGUAUUAUUUGUGUGCAGUGAUAUUGCAGAUAUGCCAUAGGGCUAAUACUC
rnacentral:tRNA from 1 species